CCAGCGUGGAAACAAAGCCAAGACUGCAGAUGUCUGAACCAACUGAAGCUCGCCCAGUGGCCUGGAUAUCUGCAGUCUGAUGCUGAAACACCACAUUUAAGACUGACAGUCGACAGCGGUUGGGUGACCUGCGUAAGAAAUGAACGUUUAUUAUUGGAUAAAGUCAUUAAAAAGCAAGAAGUGAGUGCUGUGCUGGGAAUUCCAAUGAGCUGCGUCUUCCCAGUGAAGAGCUGCAGCUCAGAAAUCGAAACUGAUGAAGAGACGGAUUCACUUGAUACUGAGCACAAUGAGAAAGAUGUUUGUCUACAGAGGAGACUUCCUGAAGGACCAGUUGGCUUCAUGCAUGACUGAAAAUAGCGAUGCUAAAAACAGACAUUUUAUGUUAUGAUUGUCAGCAGUGUCACAAGUUACUGAGUUCAUGUAAGAAUUUCUUUGUUUUGCUCUGGUUUUGAAUUAAAAUAGACUCUGCACUGUAAGAAGUUUUUGUUGUUUUUAACCACAUUUUUACUGUAAAUUGUCCAAAUCCUCACUGUAUCCCCUGCAUACCUGCAGGUUUGCUCGAUAGUAAACAGAGGUGCAGAAUUGAUAGUCAGAGAUUCAUCUGUUUUUCCAUUGUUCUUUUUAGUGCUUUCAGUUUUAAUGUCAGUCAUCACGAUAAUUAAUGGAGUGCUGUCAAUGAUUAAUUUUUUUAAAUUGUGAAUAAUGACAAAAAUUACAACUAGGGUUAUCAAUUGACUCUAAGAAACGAAACAGAAGAGAAAACUCAUUUUCCUGUCAUUGAGACUUCAUUGUUUUUUUCAUUCCUG
rnacentral:lncRNA from 1 species